UACGUAGGGGGCAAGCGUUGUCCGGAAUCAUUGGGCGUAAAGAGCGUGUAGGCGGUCCGGUAAGUCGGCUGUGAAAGUCCAGGGCUCAACCCUGGGAUGCCGGUCGAUACUGCCGGACUAGAGUUCGGAAGAGGCGAGUGGAAUUCCCGGUGUAGCGGUGAAAUGCGCAGAUAUCGGGAGGAACACCUAUGGCGAAGGCAGCUCGCUGGGACGUUACUGACGCCGAGACGCGAAAGCGUGGGGAGCAAACAGG
rnacentral:rRNA from 1 species